rnacentral:misc_RNA from 1 species
CUCGUGCCUCGGGGAGCGCGCGUGUGAGUGGGCGUUGGUGAGUUUGUUUGCUCCCCUUUCUGCGCAUCACCUCGCCGCCCCGCACGCGCGCCAUCGCCGCUCCGUCAUCCUUCACUCUUGCGCAGCGUGAAACGCCCGCCAUCACAGGAACAACUGUCAAGAAACGCAAAACCUCUGCGGUGUUGCAGCCAGGUGGGCAGGGGGACCCUCAUUCACGAAAGGAGGUGAGCCGACUCCUAGACAGAGUGUUGCAACGCUCUCAUCGUGGUGCACCCUUCCGUCAACUCGCCACCCCCUCUUCUGCUUCUUUUCUAUAAAGUGCUGUGCUCUGCCUCUCUGCUUCCCUCCUCCCGGUGGCUGGCCCGUGGGGCUGACGCUCGUGUGUAUCGCGUUUGGUUUUGCAGCUCUCGACAUAUGCUGCGUCGCACCUCACGACAGCUGCGGCCGGUGGCGGCCGUCGGACUUGCCGUCGUAGGGGCCGGCGAUGGCACACGACAGAGAAACUCGCUGCAGCGCCUCUUGCGUGACCACGAUGAAGGCGUUGCGGCGAACGCCAAGGGCACCAUCACGGUCACAAGCACCUACGAUGUGGAGAGCGCCCUCUACUACGACCAGUACAACAUGGCGGUGAUGCCGUGUGUCAGCGGCGGCGCCGCGCGACAGGCGCUGCGGGCAAAGCUAAUUGAGUCUGGCGCCGUUGCCGGCGUCCGGGAGCGGCUCUUAGCGCCGUGGCAGGCGGAGGGCGAGCGGCGCGUUGUCGUGUUCGGCUGCCGCAGCGUUGCGUACCUCAAGCGGCAACUCCUCGCUGACACUACACACUCUUUCCUCAUCGUGGACCCCUCGCUGAAGGAGUUGAUGGGAGCCGCCGCAGCUCUCACCCCGGCGUUCGCCCGCCGCGUCUUCUUUCUGCGCUGCGAGUCGAUGUUUACUUGUCUGCAGGUGCUGCAGCCGGAGACGGCCGACGUGGCGGUAGUGCCUAUGCCGGUGCCAUUCUGGUCCAAGCACGGCAGCCACCGACGCCUUGUUCACUUCGACUUCUACUGCGCGGCCCACAGUGUGCUGCGUGUCCGGGAGGCGCCCACAGACCCCCGCGGUGUUGUCCUCUUCACCGAUUGUGAGCCCUACGCGGCUUUCAUGAUGGAGCACCUGGAGGAGGCGAAGUUGGUGGUGCCGUACACCCGCAAGAACCCAGCCCAGCUCUUCCAGCGGUGGCUGCCACAGGACGAGCUGAUCGAAGACGUCGAGGGAGGCGCACAGCGGCGCCGCCGCGAGUUCCCGAAGCAGCGCGACGAGGAUGUGGUCGCGCUGGCGGCCGCAAAGAGCGGCGCAACGACACCAGACGCGCGUCGGUUGCUUUCCGCCUACAACUAUUCCCGAAAGUACUACCGCGACUUUGCAGAGGAGCGAGUGCAGCAGGCAGGCGGCGUUUGACGCCUCUUUACCCGCUUGCUCACCAGACCAUCUGCCCCCCCCCUGCCUGCCCUUCUACCACUCGUGCACCGCCGACUUUUUCCACUGCAGAUGCCGUCUGUAUUGUUGCAUGCCGUCGCCGCGCUUCCUUCUCCCUCACCUCUCGCCAGGUAUUCCUCAAGCCCAGGUGACGGUUGCUGAGGUUAAUUCUCACGGUGCCUCCCCUCCCCACUCGCGCACAGACAGAGGAUCCUCCGUGCCACUCGUUUCUUCUCUUCUUCCCCUGGUCACUGGCUUGCGCACAGUGCAUCGAUCCCUUGCCGUUUCGAGUGCGUCACUGCUGCAGCCUCUCGCUGCUCCACUCCCUGACCAGCACACCAACAAAGUAGUCGAGGGCAGCGAUGGCAGCGGCGUGAGGGAGGGGUGUGUGCGAGCGCUAUGUUCGAUCACACUUUACGUUG